GUAGAUCUGUAUGGCACUGUUUGCAGUAGUGACUUCAGAGUUCAGGUGUGAGUAGAUCUGUAUGGCACUGUCUGUAGUACUGACUUCAGAGUUCAGGUGUGAGUAGAUCUGUAUGGCACUGUUUGUAGUAGUGCCUUCAGAGUUCAGGUGUGAGUAGAUCUGUAUGGCACUGUCUGCAGUAGUGACUUCAGAGUUCAGGUGUGAGUAGAUCUGUAUGGCACUGUUUGCAGUAGUGACUUCAGAGUUCAG